rnacentral:rRNA from 1 species
UAGGGGGCGAGCGUUGUCCGGAUUUAUUGGGCGUAAAGCGUGCGUAGGCGGCUGCGCAAGUCGGUUGUGAAACCCCGGGGCUCAACCCCGGAACUGCAUCCGAUACUGCGUGGCUAGAGGUAGGUAGGGGAGAUCGGAAUUCCUGGUGUAGCGGUGAAAUGCGCAGAUAUCAGGAGGAACACCGGUGGCGAAGGCGGAUCUCUGGGCCUUACCUGACGCUCAGGCACGAAAGCUAGGGGAGCGAACAGG